AUUGAACGCUGGCGGCAGGCCUAACACAUGCAAGUCGAGCGGAUGAAGGGAGCUUGCUCCUGGAUUCAGCGGCGGACGGGUGAGUAAUGCCUAGGAAUCUGCCUGGUAGUGGGGGAUAACGUCCGGAAACGGGCGCUAAUACCGCAUACGUCCUGAGGGAGAAAGUGGGGGAUCUUCGAACCUCACGCUAUCAGAUGAGCCUAGGUCGGAUUAGCUAGUUGGUGGGGUAAAGGCCUACCAAGGCGACGAUCCGUAACUGGUCUGAGAGGAUGAUCAGUCACACUGGAACUGAGACACGGUCCAGACUCCUACGGGAGGCAGCAGUGGGGAAUAUUGGACAAUGGGCGAAAGCCUGAUCCAGCCAUGCCGCGUGUGUGAAGAAGGUCUUCGGAUUGUAAAGCACUUUAAGUUGGGAGGAAGGGCAGUAAGUUAAUACCUUGCUGUUUUGACGUUACCAACAGAAUAAGCACCGGCUAACUUCGU
rnacentral:rRNA from 1 species